UACAGAGGUCCCGAGCGUUGUUCGGAUUCACUGGGCGUAAAGGGUGCGUAGGUGGUGAGGUAAGUCGGAUGUGAAAGCUCGGAGCUCAACUCCGAAAUGGCAUUGGAAACUACCUUGCUCGAGGGUUGGAGGGGGGACUGGAAUGCUUGGUGUAGCAGUGAAAUGCGUAGAUAUCAAGCGGAACACCAGUGGCGAAGGCGAGUCCCUGGACAACUCCUGACACUGAGGCACGAAAGCUAGGAGAGCAAACAGG
rnacentral:rRNA from 1 species